GCAGUAGCCGCGGGAAUACGAAGGGGGCUAGCGUUGUUCGGAUUUACUGGGCGUAAAGGGCGCGUAGGCGGACUGAUAAGUCAGGGGUGAAAUCCCAAGGCUCAACCUUGGAACUGCCUUUGAUGCUGUUUGUCUUGAGUUCGAGAGAGGUAAGUGGAACUGCGAGUGUAGAGGUGAAAUUCGUAGAUAUUCGCAAGAACACCAGUGGCGAAGGCGGCUUACUGGCUCGAAACUGACGCUGAGGCGCGAAAGCGUGGGGAGCAAACAGGAUUAGAUACCCGCGUAGUCCCUGUCUCUUAUAC
rnacentral:rRNA from 1 species